GACGAACGCUGGCGGCGUGCUUAACACAUGCAAGUCGAACGGAAAGGCCCUGCUUUUGUGGGGUGCUCGAGUGGCGAACGGGUGAGUAACACGUGAGUAACCUGCCCUUGACUUUGGGAUAACUUCAGGAAACUGGGGCUAAUACCGGAUAGGAGCUCCUGCUGCAUGGUGGGGGUUGGAAAGUUUCGGCGGUUGGGGAUGGACUCGCGGCUUAUCAGCUUGUUGGUGGGGUAGUGGCUUACCAAGGCUUUGACGGGUAGCCGGCCUGAGAGGGUGACCGGCCACCUUGGGACUGAGAUACGGCCCAGACUCCUACGGGAGGCAGCAGUGGGGAAUAUUGCACAAUGGGCGGAAGCCUGAUGCAGCAACGCCGCGUGCGGGAUGCCGGCCUUCGGGUUGUAAACCGCUUUCGCCUGUGACGAAGCGUGAGUGACGGUAAUGGGUAAAGAAGCACCGGCUAACUACGUG
rnacentral:rRNA from 1 species